rnacentral:rRNA from 1 species
GCAGGCUGCAACUCGCCUGCAUGAAGUCGGAAUUGCUAGUAAUCGCGGAUCAGCAUGCCGCGGUGAAUACGUUCCCGGGCUUUGUACACACCGCCCGUCACACCAUGAGAGCCGGUAACACCCGAAGUCAGUAGUCUAACCGCAAGGGGGGACGCUGCCGAAGGUGGGGCUGGUGAUUGGGGGUGAAGUCGUAACAAGGUACC